CCCUUAGAUGUUCGGGGCUGCACGCGCGCUACACUGUAGAAAUCAGCGUGCUUCAAAACCUUUUCCGAAAGGAAUGGGUAACCCCAUGAAACUUCUACGUGAUUGGGAUAGAGAUUUGCAAUUAUCUCUCUUGAACGAGGAAUUCCCAGUAAGUGCGGGUCAUCAGCUCGCGUUGAUUACGUCCCUGCCCUUUGUACACACCGCCCGUCGCUACUACCGAUUGGGAAAAUUUCAGAAUGCUUAGGACUGGAACUUGUUCGGCCUCACGGCCUUACUUGUUCUGGAAAUAAGUAUAAUGAUAUUUUCCUAGAGGAAGUAAAAGUCGUAACA
rnacentral:rRNA from 1 species